AUGAACGCUGGCGGCAUGCCUAAGACAUGCAAGUCGAACGAAGCGGCCCACAGAUUACAUUGAAGUUGGAGUGCUUGCACAAAAAUGAAUAUGUAAUGACGUGGAUUUCCGCUUAGUGGCAAACGGGUGAGUAACACGUGGGUUACCUACCUCUAAGUUGGGGAUAACAGUUGGAAACGAUUGCUAAUACCGAAUACGUUCUACGGAAUAAAGGAGCCCUUAAAGCUCCGCUUAGAGAUGGGCCUGCGGCGUAUUAGCUUGUUGGUGGGGUAACGGCCUACCAAGGCAACGAUGCGUAGCCGAACUGAGAGGUUAAUCGGCCACACUGGGACUGAGACACGGCCCAGACUCCUACGGGAGACAGCAGUUAGGAAUAUUCGUCAAUGGGGGAAACCCUGAACGAGCAAUGCCGCGUGAAGUGAUGACGGCCCUCUGGGUUGUAAAACUCUGUUGUUUGGAAAGAAUUGUUAGAGAAGGAAAUGUCUUUAACUUGACGGUACCAUUCAAGAAAGCCACGGCUAACUACGUGCCAGCAGCCGC
rnacentral:rRNA from 1 species